rnacentral:rRNA from 1 species
ACUCCUACGGGUAGGCAGCAGUGGGAAUCUUGGACAAUGGGGGCAACCCUGAUCCAGCCAUGCCGCGUGAGCGAUGAGGCCUUAGGGUUGUAAAGCUCUUUCAGCCGGUGAAGAUAAUGACGGUAGCCGGAGAAGAAGCCCCGGCUAACUCCGUGCCAGCGAGCCGCGGUAAUACGGAGGGGCUAGCGUUGUUCGGAAUUACUGGGCGUAAAGCGCGCGUAGGCGGGCUGUUAAGUCGGGGGUGAAAUCCCGGGGCUCAACCCCGGAACUGCCCUCGAUACUGGCAGCCUAGAGAUCUGGAGAGGCGAGUGGAAUUCCGAGUGUAGAGGUGAAAUUCGUAGAUAUUCGGAGGAACACCAGUGGCGAAGGCGGCUCGCUGGCCAGG